UAGGGAAUCUUCGGCAAUGGACGAAAGUCUGACCGAGCAACGCCGCGUGAGUGAAGAAGGUUUUCGGAUCGUAAAACUCUGUUGUUAGAGAAGAACAAGGACGUUAGUAACUGAACGUCCCUUGACGGUAUCUAACCAGAAAGCCACGGCUAACUACGUGCCAGCAGCCGCGGUAAUACGUAGGUGGCAAGCGUUGUUCGGAUUUAUUGGGCGUAAAGCGAGCGCAGGCGGUUUCUUAAGUCUGAUGUGAAAGCCCCCGGCUCAACCGGGGAGGGUCAUUGGAAACUGGGAGACUUGAGUGCAGAAGAGGAGAGUGGAAUUCCAUGUGUAGCGGUGAAAUGCGUAGAUAUAUGGAGGAACACCAGUGGCGAAGGCGGCUCGCGGGUCUGUAACUGACGCUGAGGCUCGAAAGCGUGGGGAGCAAACAGG
rnacentral:rRNA from 1 species